CGCGAAGGCCCGCGGCGGGUGUUGACGCGAUG
rnacentral:piRNA from 1 species